AACGAACGCUGGCGGCAGGCUUAACACAUGCAAGUCGAGCGCCUCGCAAGGGGAGCGGCAGACGGGUGAGUAACGCGUGGGAAACUACCCUUUGGUACGGAAUAACACAGAGAAAUUUGUGCUAAUACCGUAUGUGCCCUUCGGGGAAAGAUUAUCGCCAUAGGAUGUGCCCGCGUCGGAUUAGCUAGUUGGUGUGGUAAUGGCGCACCAAGGCGACGAUCCGUAGCUGGUCUGAGAGGAUGACCAGCCACAUUGGGACUGAGACACGGCCCAAACUCCUACGGGAGGCAGCAGUGGGGAAUAUUGGACAAUGGGCGCAAGCCUGAUCCAGCCAUGCCGCGUGAGUGAUGAAGGCCUCGG
rnacentral:rRNA from 1 species